UGCUGACGGAGGUCACAGCCAGCCACAGUGUCAUUCCAGAAGCUUCUCCUCCGCAGCAGGUACUCACUGACCCCAGAGGAAGAUUUCUCCAAUGUCAGAACCCUGAAAAUGAGAUGCUGAAAUCAACCAGAGUGACUUGGGGGGAAAUGUGUUUUUUUCAAGUGACUGAAGGAAUCAAAUCAGAAAACAAGAACAAGAAAGAACAUGGGAACUAAUGCAGAAUCAACGGAAACCAUUGACUCUUCUCCUUGUCCCUGCCUGACAUGGAAAGUAAUGUAGAAACAAUCAAGCUGCUUGUCUUCAGUCUCUAAAACCAACCUCCUCUGCAAGCGUUCCUCAGAACACUUAUUCCAUUUCAGGAAAUCAAAUGUUGCCUGAUUCUAGAAUUACAAACAAAUCCAAUUAAAACCUUUAAAUUUA